UGGCCGGGGAGAGUGCGGGGAGACCGCGUUUAGAGGAUCAGUGGCGGUGGCCCCGCGCGGUGCCGGCGAUGGCAGCGAGAUGUCCUGGCCCCUUCCAGGUUUGGGAGAAAGGAAAGAACAAGGUGUAGCUGAUUAGCAAGUUAAUUAUUUCAGUACCCCAAGGGUUCAUGCGUGGUGGAGACGGCCGUGGAGGGCCAACUUCUCAACUUCAGCAACGUGAGGAUGACACAGUACUCACUGGUGCUGCCAUUCUGCUGUCCCCGCUCAGGUUGGCUGCCACCCUUGCUGAUGGAGAGAGGCUGGAGGCUGUCUGAGAAGACAGUGCUGAUGCAGAGGCCUCCUAGCGAAGUGUGAAGGGAUGCCCUCAGCCAGGGCUGAAGAAAGGAAGCAAAGGAGGGGAGCCCAAGGAAAGGUGGGGCCAAUUGGGAUUUUUAGGUAACACUCUUCUGGCAUACUUCUCAUGUGUUGUAUGUUAUAAUCGCCAAAUUUCACGUUUAUUGUAGUAGCCUGCCGUGUGUAGGCCAAAUGCUGCUUGGCCAAAACAGUGUUAAAUAAAACUGUAAGAAAUGCUA